CAGUAGCCGCGGUAAUACGUAGGGCGCAAGCGUUAUCCGGAAUUAUUGGGCGUAAAGAGCUCGUAGGCGGUUUGUCGCGUCUGCCGUGAAAGUCCGGGGCUCAACCCCGGAUCUGCGGUGGGUACGGGCAGACUAGAGUGAUGUAGGGGAGACUGGAAUUCCUGGUGUAGCGGUGAAAUGCGCAGAUAUCAGGAGGAACACCGAUGGCGAAGGCAGGUCUCUGGGCAUUAACUGACGCUGAGGAGCGAAAGCAUGGGGAGCGAACAGGAUUAGAUACCCCUGUAGUCCCUGUCUCUUAUAA
rnacentral:rRNA from 1 species